rnacentral:lncRNA from 1 species
AACCUGAUCUGUUCCCAAAUCCGACAAAACAAGUAAACAUUGUACUUGGUGCAAAGUCAAUCGAGAUAUAUGACUCAUACAUUGGAUUCAUAACAGAUUUAUCUUGCUGUUGUACUGUAGCAUAUUUGUUCAAAGGCAGAUAAAAGAAUACGCCAGUUACUAUUUAAUUUACAAUGUUGGGCCCGUGCUCGCACUUUAAAAUCUUCUUGCUUUUCAAAGAAAGAAUCUGAAAUCUGA